UAUGCGUACGAUUAUAGAAAAUUAAGUAAUUCGAUAUAUUAUAUUAUUCGUUUUAUAAAACAACCAGUUGUACCGCGCUCCGUGCACGACGGGUUAUAAUAAUAAACGGAAAAUGGUUUAAAAUGACUACGUAUAGUGCUAAAUCCAAAUGCUGCAAAUAUUUAUGUUAAUCGUUUUACAAGGAAUGAAUCAAAUGUAUUUGGGUACAUCUAUAAUUUGUUGGUGAAAAGUAGAUCGUAUAAUAUGAAGUAUCGUGUAUAUUUUGUAUUGCAAUACCUGUUGCAUAUAUAUAUCUAAUAUUUAUAU